rnacentral:misc_RNA from 1 species
AGAAGAGACAUGUGAAACACAAAUUAAAAAUGUAUUUCAUGAAAACUAGCUUGAAACUAUAAUUUAUACCUUCAGCCUCACAGUCAAUUCUAAUGAAAUUGUAUCAGAAAAAUAAAUUUUGAAUUUCAAAUGCAAUGACAAACAAUAGGCCAAUAAACAAGAUGAUAGGCAUGCAACUAAUAAGUACCAAAUGAAUGAGAGAAAAGAAAAUUUGAGGAAUCUUGUCAGGUCAUCAUUUAUAUAAGAUUUUAAUUGCCAAGUGAAAAUGGUAGUCUUAGAACUCGGAAUUUCCAUGACUAAAACAUAUCCAAUUUAAUUUUAAAUAAAUGUUUAAUACCCUCUAACUAACAUAUUUAAGAAGGUACUUUUCCCAACAAUAGCUCCAACAACCAUGCCAACCACACCCUAAGUUUAUUUUAUCAUGUCUUGAAAAGAGGAAGCUGAUGGAAUCAAAACUCAAGGAUAACAAGUUUCAACUCCUAAGUUGCUAAGACCAUAUCUAAAUAUUGUAAAAGAUUGCAAGUUCCUCAAAUAAGUUUUGCCAAGUUCUCACACAAUAUAUCAAGUUCUCAACAUCAUGUCAUAUCUUUUUUUUGUCAAGUGCCAUUAAAGGAACUUCUUUUAGGAAAUGGCAGUAAAAUGUAUAUGCCAUUAAACCAUAAAUAAAUUAACUCAACUAAGUUAUUCUCAAUCAAAAUACUGCAAUUGCCAUAGUUAUUAAUGGCUCAAGGCACACUAAGGCGCCA